AAGUCAUAACAAGGUAUCUGUAGGUGAACCUGCAGAUGGAUCAUUAGUGAAUAACAAGGGGUUCCCACUCUGUGGGCCCCAACCCUAUCACCAUAUCCACACACCUGUGCACCGCUAGUGAUGACCGAUGUGCUUGCGCGCAUCUUGUCAUCGCCGGCACCCUUUACACACACACACAAAGUAAAUGAAUGUCACUGUAACUACGCAAGUAGAAACAAAAUACAACUUUUGACAACGGAUCUCUUGGUUCUCC
rnacentral:misc_RNA from 1 species